CUCAAUGCAUGGUCAGGAGCUUCCUUGUCUUGAUGUCAGUGGCUUCUAUCUCCUCCUUUGGCCCACUUAUUCCAGCAGGGUACCUGAUCAUGGGCAGGGCGUGUUGAUACCCCAGAUCUUGUUCUUACCGUUCAGCUGACUUCUCGGGACUUGCCUGACCCUCUGCAGGUACUUGGUGGUUGCAGCUUUUCUAGCGACCUCUUCAUGGUUCCAUUUUACCUGUGGUGUCCCCAGGUGUAGCUGUCCUCUAUGUCUGCAAUGUUGCCUUCUGGUAGUUCGAUCCCCUCAGUUAUGACUACCUUCCCUCUCUUUGUUACCAUCUGACUUCACUUAAUGUCAUAUUGUUUCUAAGCAUACCUGUUAUUCAUCCAUCAAAUUGAUUCAAGCUGCUUAAAUGAUUCAGUCUGUUUUGAAGACGGUUAUUGAUUACUGAGAUCAUAAAUAAACAGUCACGUAUACAGAGACACACAGUGCUUUAACUGUUACGACACACCCACACGCACACUCACUCACGUACAUACACACACAUACACACAGGUACGCGCACACAGUCACUCACGUGCACUCACAUAGACACACGGGUACGCGCGCACACAGGCACUCAUGUGCUUGUGCAUACACACACAGACACACCAUGGGGGUUUUAUGAUGGGGUCACUUCUUUAAUGCUGGCUGUAACUAACAAAGAGGUGGAAGAUCUGCAGAGGGACAUCUCCCCUUCUAGAAGAUGCAUGCUUAAAUGAAGAUGAAUAAAGAUGAAUAAAGGUUUUGUGAAAUAACUACUGGAUGCCCGGGGAAUAAAAGAACCAGGGUAAAAUUGAUUUCUCAACAAGACUCAAGCGUUUUGUAUCACUGUACAUUGAAGCUUUUUAUUACAAACAAUUUACAAUACUGAAAAAAUGACAGGAAGUAUUGUUUUCUGAAGUAACAAAGCAAAAGACCGCUGUCACUCUUCAGUUGCUGAAAUUCUCCACAAGAGACCCGAGUCAUGACAGCAAAUUGUCAGGGGUUGCUGAGUGGAUGUGGAGAAAAGGACUCAAACGCAGGACUCACGGUGAAGAUGCAGGGUGUUUAUUGUGAGGGACGAAUGACGAAAACAGGAGAUGGCUGACUGACUGACUGAAUGAAUAACUGAAUGAACGGCUGACUGAUCUGAACUUGGGAGGCAAACAUGGGGCAUAGACAGCAUUGACAACGUUAAUGACGCGACGCCGACCAAGAGAGAACUGAGGACUUAAAUACACUGGCUGAACAAUGACUGAUAGGUGACAGGUGAGUGAGCAGCUGAACACAAUUGAACUAACGAUGCAUGGAAUAAGAACUAGAACAUAAUGCACACAGAGUAACGUAACACAAAACAGGAAGUGGAACGUACAGAGGAUAAACAGUGAACAUGAACUGAAAAUACUGGGUCAACGACCCAGAAACCCUGACACAAAUGUGCUUCUGUUUGUUUUUUAACGUGCUGUAGUUGCCUGACUGAACAUAUAAGUCCUGUGCACAUAAAGUAAAACUAUUGAUGAAAAAUGUUCACCUCGAAUGAGCAAAUCCCAGACAAAAUGUAGUAAAAUAUUUAAAUCGUGUUGAACAUUAAAUUGUGUAUAUAUAUCAGUAAAAAUCACCCUUUCUAUGGCCAUUUUUCAUUAGUUUUCAAUUCAGUCAAAUGCUUUCUUGUAUUGCUAGGUUGCACAUUUUUGUAUAACACAUCCUCCUCUUCACCAAGAUUCUAGAGGAGAUAGUUGCUAUGUGUUGAUGUUUCUGGAAAAACAGUAAAAUCACUUAAGUCCUUUUCCAUGACUGACUCACUGUGUCCUUGUUUAUGAACAGAUCUAGAAUAAGAGAGACAGGGACAUGAGCUCUGAACUGUAAGCAUUGUCUGCUUCUUUUGUGUCCGGUGAAGGAGCAAACAAUGGAGAGGGCGGUGAUGUUCCAUCAUUCAUGUUGUGUAUAGACACAACCUGUGACGCCUCGCUGCUGUGUUGCCUUACUGCUGUGCUGCCUUACUACCGUGCUGUCUCGCUGGUGCCAUUAAAGGACCGGCGGCUGCCAUCCAUUCAUCCAUCCGGACCUCGAUUUUUUGGACCGAAGUACUCACACACACGCCCGCACUCAGCGCCAUACACUCUCUUUAUUUUGCUGGCCAGCUAACACCAUUGUUUGUUUGUUUUUGUUUUGUUUUGUUUUUGCAUUCACAAAGACUAUCCAAAGACAUUUUGGUUAUUGUCAAAUAGACACUCUCUGAUUACGGACUGAGGAGGUUGUGGUGUUACAACCCCAGGACUGAAGAAAAAAAAAGACUAUUUACAUAAUAUAUUCACUUGUCUCCUGUUUAGGAGAAGUGGCUAUUGAUGGAAAUAUUUUUUUUCUUCUUCUUGUCUUUGUUUACAUUGUAUCUCAGAGAAGUUUUAAGUUGUUCAGGUUGAAACAUUUGCCCUUAGAGUUUGUUAAGUUUCCUUUGAUGUAUCAGUGUCAAGCUGAUGUUUAAGAGGGUAUGUUAAGGACAGAUGUGCUCCAGUCCAUCAAUCCUUUAAAGUGCUGGACACCGAUGGUAAAUUGCCAUCAGACCCUAAAUAAAUUGUCCUCUGCUGUUA